AACAAUUCAAAAGAUGCAAAAGGAUGCUUUGGAGAUCCACAUUUUGGAACAUAAGUUAAAGAUAUCUGGCACCUAUACAAAAAACUGUGCUGGACCAUUUUGAAACCACAGUUGUAAUUGGGGCUGACACAAAGGCUGUGCGAGGAUUGUGGUUGAAGACCAGCCGACCCGAAGACCCGUAGGUGUAAGGGGUCGGGAGAGGACCCAAAUGCAGCACACGUAGGCAGGCAGACAGUCGGUAAUGACCUUUAUUUAACACGUUCUUUAUGGACAGUUUGAAGAUAUGGGGUCAACUUGCAGGAGUCAGCACAACAGGCAGGUGUGCUUGGCAAAGGCAGAUCCGUUGUUGGUAGUGAUGGCCAAAAUGAAAAGACUCUUCGGAGCACGUACCAAGCAAAAAGGGGAGUUCCAGAUGAAGCUUGUGUCGAGGCUUGUGUCGUUCCCAUAAUAAUCAAGUGACCAAUGACAAACAAAGCCUCGGUUUAUGAGGGUGACGUUUGAAGCUUCGUUUGGGACCCACGCGAGUCAACCCUCUCGACUCAGACAAGACUGUUUCGGAAUGCAGUUCCAGAGUCUAGUUCACGGACAAAGCGUUUCUGUGUUACAAAAUAAGAACUUUAAUUUAGUAUGUACAUUGAAAGUAGCCUACCUAAGUUUGUUGGCGGCGGAAGGAAGGGUCGAUCCCCGGGACAGAGACAGAGCAGGCAGGUCGGGGACAGGCAGGGUCGAUACCAGGGAAUCAGUCGGGAAAAAAUGCUGGAGAGACUAAUACGGAUGACAUAGGACAAUCUGGCACUGAGUGAACUGAGAGGGGAGUCUAUAUACCGGAUUGAUUAGUGAUCAGAGGCAGCUGAGCGCAAAACAGGUGAGGAGAGUUGGACUGAUGAUCGGAGAGUGGCAGGCAGGCAGGUGAGGAGAAGGGAGGGCCGGUGGAAAAACCCUGGUAGCUAAGGUGAAUGAGAUGACUGAGAGGGGAGCUCAUGACAGUAGGAUUGAAUUAAUCUGCAUGUACCAGGUAGGACUGGACCAGCAGUGCACCCCUCAACACCCCUACAGCCAUCAAGGUUGUCCCUCUCCCCUCCCUUGCAUCUUCUCCUUGAUCAAAUUCUCUUCCACUUUGUCUUUCUUUUUGCCUCCAUUUCUGGGUGAUACGAUGAUGAGAGCAGUUUACACUUGCUUGACGUAACAGAUCGAGGUAAAGAGAGAUGGUGAAGAUGACAAAUGGAUCUGUCAUCUUCACCUCAGGGAAAGGGGUGCUGACGGCCAAGUCUCUGCUGCUAGAGCUAAACUAUCCAAAGGCUCCGUUUGGAUAAGAUAAUGGAGACCUGUGGGGUAUACUACGAACCUCGCUGAACAUACCCAGGCGCUCUUGGGAAAAACUGGAUUGACAAACGAAACUCGCAAUCAGACUUAAAUGGUACUACGAAGCUCACUUAGGAUUCGAUUUGUCAAUCCAGGUUUUCCGCUUUAGGGUCAAUGCGCGUUCACAUAAAAGGGGUGUAUAUCGCAUAAUUUUACUCACCUUUACAAACUCGAUAGAAUAAGAGCAGUAUAUUUCACUCAAGAGGAACAGAUAGUCAUAAUGAACUCCUAUGGGGAGUUCAAUAAUCAGAUAACAGCUAGGGGCAACACAGUUGCACAUAAUAAGGCUUUGGGGGUGUGCUGGCAAAAAACAGGCAAUUAAGUUUAAAUUCGUAGAUGAAAAGAUUCUGCAUGUUGUCUGAAAAAGUACUAUGCCAAAUGCAGAAUUGUUUGUUAUUAAUCCCAAUAGAGUGAUGAUGAUUUCAAAAUGCACAUGGUCCACAGGAACACCCAGAAAUGUUGACGAUAUAACCCGAUAGAUUUAGGCUCCGCUUACACGAGGACGCUUGCGGGUAAAAACAACCAAAUAUUUUAUCUGAAGUGCCUUUCGUUUACAUGGUGACUGCGUUUUCGGUGUUGUGUGAUAGUGUAUCACAGCAACACACUUUUGCGUCACCGUAUGCACGCAGAUUUCCUCAUUCCCAUCUGACCCUGGCAUACCCAGUUGCUCACCCGCUUUUGAUGCUGGUAUAAUUCUACCAAGCUAGGUGUGAGAAAGCUAGAAUGCUUGGAAAGGGAACCAGGGGGGGGGGGGGGGGGGGGGGGAGCACCACAGGGUUGGGGUGAGGGUGAGUUGUACGAUGAUUGAUAGCUAGCAAAGAUAACUGAUCCAACUCUGGUGUCCUCCUGUUAGCCCGUAUAGAGCUCUAGACCUUCUAUCGCGGGUCUCUACAAAAAAAUCAAAAUCAUCAGUCUUCCUGCAACAUACAGUAUUCACAUAAAGCACUUACAGAAGCACUUACAAACAUCUUGAGGUUUAGAGAGGACAUGAUCAGAUGACAAUAUUUAUGUGGCUUCAUUGAAAGAGCUGUCAUUUGUUUUAGCAAACGUUAGUACGUACUCUCUCUGAGCACUGAGAGGGGGAGAGCAUUGAGAGGGGAGAGCAGAGAGAGAGAGAGAGAGAGAGAGAGAGAGAGAGAGAGAGAGAGAGAGAGAGAGAGAGAGAGAGAGAGAG